AACGGCCAUUAAACUAGAAGAAGAAGAAGAAGAAGAAUGCGAUGGAGUCACGCGCGCGGGCAGUGCGUCUGCUGUUUGAUUGAGAGGAACUCAGCGAUUUCUCCCGCGGCGCUGAAAGGCGCGCGAUGAACGCGUGAAAAUGUUCGGCUGCGUUUUGAGAAAAAUGCGCUGGAAGAGGAACGGCGCGCGCAGAAGCGUGUGCACGAGACAGCCCGAGGUGCGCGUCAGAUUCGCUCCGAGUCCCACAGGGUUUCUUCAUCUCGGAGGUCUCCGCACGGCUCUCUAUAACUACCUGUUCGCCAAGCAGCGCGGCGGCGCGCUCAUCCUGCGGCUGGAGGACACGGACCGCGUGCGCCUGAUUCCCGGGGCCGCGGACGCUAUUGAAGACAUGCUGGAGUGGGCAGGAAUCCCUCCAGAUGAAAGCAGCCGCAGAGGAGGGCAUUAUGGGCCAUACGUUCAGUCUGAACGGCUGCAGCUCUACUCACAGGCCGCAUCAUCUCUGCUGCACACAGGCCACGCCUACUACUGCUUCUGCACCAAUCAGAGGCUGGAGCUGCUGAAGAGAGAGGCGCAGCGGAGCGGACACGUACCGCGCUAUGAUAACCGGUGUCGGCACCUGCAGCCGGAGCGGAUCCAGGAGAAGCUGGCGCUCGGCAUCCCUCACGUGGUCCGCUUCAGACUGGAUGCCGGCGCCGAGCCCUUCCAGGACCUGGUGUUCGGCUGGACCCGGCACGAGGUGGCCGCGGUGGAGGGCGACCCAGUCAUCCUGAAGGCCGACGGAUUCCCCACGUACCACCUGGCCAGCGUGGUGGACGACCAUCACAUGUGUAUCAGUCAUGUGCUUCGUGGCUCUGAGUGGCUGAUCUCCACCGCCAAACACCUGCAGCUGUUCGCCGCGCUGCGCUGGAGUCCGCCGGCGUACGCUCACCUGCCGCUGCUGCUCAACCGCGACGGCAGCAAACUCUCCAAACGACAGGGUGACAUCUUCAUCCAGCACUUUAGAGAGCAGGGCGUCCUCCCGGAGACCCUGCUGGACCUCGUCACUCACGCCGGGUCCGGGUUCAACAAUAAUCGGAUCGGUCGACGUCUGGACGAAUUAAUUCAGGAAUUUAACAUUUCCAAGAUCACGACACACUCUGCUCUGCUGGAUCUGGACAAAUUAGACGAGUUCAACAGGGUUCAUCUGCAGCGCAGGAUCGAGGAUCAGCAGAUGUGUGUGGAGCUGUGGGAGGAGCUGCGUCAGCGGCUUCUUCAGACACACGGCUCCGACAUCAGUGACCGCGCCGUACUGGAGCCGCACUAUAUACAAAGAGUCCUGCAGCUGCGCAAGGGUCACAUCUGUUCCCUGCGGGAGCUGCUGGAUCACUCGUAUUCCUACCUGUGGAUCCGUCCGCACGUCUCGCUGCAGCAGCUGAAGGACGUGAGCGCGGAGGCGGCCGUCAUCGCAGUGGCUGUCAUACACGUGUGUGUUUGUGCUCAGGCUGGUUGGAGCCGGCGGCUCGUUCUCGUCCACAGAGCAACUGAACCGUGAGCUGAAGCUGAUGGCCAGCAGACUGAACACCAAAUACAGCAGCGUGAUGAGAGUGCUGAGACUGGCUCUGAGCGCACAGCAGAAGGGUCCCAGUGUGGCGGAGAUGAUGCUUUCUCUGGGUGAACAGGAGGUGUGUGUCCGUCUUCAGAAAGCUCUAGACUUAACCAAUGACUCGAUCUGUGUUGAAUAAAGUGGAUAUAAAUAUUGA